rnacentral:rRNA from 1 species
UACGUAGGGGGCAAGCGUUGUCCGGAAUCAUUGGGCGUAAAGCGCGUGUAGGCGGCUGAGUAAGUCUGCUCUGAAAGCCCGGGGCUCAACCCCGGGAGGCGGAUGGAUACUGCUUGGCUCGAGUCCGGAAGAGGCGAGUGGAAUUCCCGGUGUAGCGGUGAAAUGCGCAGAUAUCGGGAGGAACACCAAUGGCGAAGGCAGCUCGCUGGGACGGUACUGACGCUGAGACGCGAAAGCGUGGGGAGCAAACAGGG